UACAGAGGUCUCAAGCGUUUGUUCGGAUUCAUUGGGCGUAAAGGGUGCGUAGGCGGCGCGGUAAGUCGGGUGUGAAAUCUCCAAGCUCAACUUGGAAAUGGCAUUGGAAACUACCUUGCUAGAGGUUUUGAGGGGGGACUGGAAUUCUCGGUGUAGCAGUGAAAUGCGUAGAUAUCGAGAGGAACACCAGUGGCGAAGGCGAGUCCCUGGAAAACACCUGACACUGAGGCACGAAAGCUAGGGGAGCAAACGGG
rnacentral:rRNA from 1 species